rnacentral:rRNA from 1 species
AACGAACGCUGGCGGCGUGGAUAAGACAUGCAAGUCGAACGCUGAUUUCAGGGUAGCAAUAUUCUGGAGUCGGAGUGGCGCAAGGGUGCGUAACACGUGGGUAAUUUGCCGUGAAGUUGGGGAUAACUCGCUGAAAGGCGAGCUAAUACCGAAUGUGAUCAUUGGAAGGCAUCUUCUGAUGAUUGAAGUUGGGGACCGCAAGGCCUGACGCUUCACGAUAAGCCCGCGGCCUAUCAGCGAGUUGGUGAGGUAACGGCCCACCAAGGCUUAGACGGGUAGCUGGUCUGAGAGGACGACCAGCCACACUGGAACUGAGACACGGUCCAGACACCUACGGGUGGCAGCAGUCGAGAA